CAUGCAAGUCGAACGAGAAUCUACUGAAAGAGUUUUCGGACGAUGGAAGUAGAGGAAAGUGGCGGACGGGUGAGUAACGCGUGAGGAACCUGCCUUGAAGAGGGGGACAACAGUUGGAAACGACUGCUAAUACCGCAUGAAGCAUAGGGGUCGCAUGAUUCUUAUGCCAAAGAUUUAUCGCUUCAAGAUGGCCUCGCGUCUGAUUAGCUAGUUGGCGGGGUAACGGCCCACCAAGGCGACGAUCAGUAGCCGGACUGAGAGGUUGAACGGCCACAUUGGGACUGAGAUACGGCCCAGACUCCUACGGGAGGCAGCAGUGGGGAAUAUUGGGCAAUGGGCGCAAGCCUGACCCAGCAACGCCGCGUGAAGGAAGAAGGCUUUCGGGUUGUAAACUUCUUUUAAGAGGGAAGAGCAGAAGACGGUACCUCUAGGAUAAGCCACGGCUAACUACGUGCCAGCAGCCGCGGUAAUACGUAGGUGGCAAGCGUUGUCCGGAUUUACUGGGUGUAAAGGGCGUGCAGCCGGGUCUGCAAGUCAGAUGUGAAAUCCAUGGGCUCAACCCAUGAACUGCAUUUGAAACUGUAGAUCUUGAGUGUCGGAGGGGCAAUCGGAAUUCCUAGUGUAGCGGUGAAAUGCGUAGAUAUUAGGAGGAACACCAGUGGCGAAGGCGGAUUGCUGGACGAUAACUGACGGUGAGGCGCGAAAGUGUGGGGAGCAAACAGGAUUAGAUACCCUGGUAGUCCACACUGUAAACGAUGAAUACUAGGUGUGCGGGGACUGACCCCCUGCGUGCCGCAGUAAACACAAUAAGUAUUCCACCUGGGGAGUACGAUCGCAAGGUUGAAACUCAAAGGAAUUGACGGGGGCCCGCACAAGCGGUGGACUAUGUGGUUUAAUUCGAAGCAACGCGAAGAACCUUACCAGGGUUUGACAUCC
rnacentral:rRNA from 1 species